rnacentral:rRNA from 1 species
AGUGUGUAUGAGAGAGAGGUCCGUAGUCGGACUGGAGCAGUCGUGGGUAAGUCAAGCCGCUCAACGGCUUGAAUUCUGCGAGCACGGCCAGACUUGGGACCAGGAGAGGUGUGGGGUACUCUCGGGGUAGGGGUAAAAUCCUGUCAUCCUGAGCGGACCACCUGUUGCGAAGGCGCCACACUAGAACGGAUCCGACGGUCAGGGACGAAGCCUAGGGGCACGAACCGGAUUAGAUACCCGGGUAGUCCUAGGUGUAAACGCUGUGGACUUGGUGUUGGGGAUUCUCCGAGGAUUCUCAGUGCCGAAGCGAAGGUGAUAAGUCCACUGCCUGGGGAGUACGGUCGCAAGGCUGAAACUUAAAGGAAUUGGCGGGGGAGCACCGCAACCUGAGGAUUGUGCGGUUUAAUUGGAUUCAACGCCGGAAAACUCACCAGUGCCGACGGACAGAUGAAAGCCAGUGUGAUGAGCUUGCUGGAUUGUUCGAGAGGUAGUGCAUGGCCGCCGUCAGUUCGUACCGUAAGGCGUUCUGUUAAGUCAGAUAACGAACGAGACCCUCAUCCCUAUUUGCUAAGGUUUCUCCCUUCGGGGCGAGAUCACAGGACUAUAGGGAGACCGCUGGCGAGAAGUCAGAGGAAGGUGAGGGCAACGGUAGGUCAGUAUGCUCCGAAUGCACUGGGCUACACGCGCAAUACAAAGGACGGGACAAUGGGCCGCUGCUCCGAGAGGAAAGAUGGCUAUCCCGAAACCCGUUCGUAGUUCGGAUUGAGGGCUGUAACUCGCCCUCAUGAAGCUGGAUUAGGUAGUAAUCGCGUCUCAAAAAGGCGCGGUGAAUAUGCCCCUGCUCCUUGCACACACCGCCCGUCAAACCAUCUUAGUUGGGGGUGGGUGAGGCUGCCUUUUAGUGGGGUAUUCGAGCCUGCCUUCGACAAGGAGGGUUAAGUCGUAACAAGGUAUCUGUAGGGGAACCUGCAGAUG